CACUGCAAGACACUAACGAUUUCGUUCGAAUCGUCGAUUCGCCAUCAUCCAUCGCCGGAGAGCCGCCAUGGCUCCUCCGCUGGAAGUGGCCAUCUGGUCUUCCCCACGAUUUCCUGCGUAUGAGGUAGUUGGUGCAUGAUCCUUCAAUUUUUCCUUUGGGUACUCUCAUUACGGCACCGUCAUCUGCGAGGAUUCCGAGGCCGGAGUAGGAGACGAAUGCGAAGGUUCAUCGGUGAUUACCUUUCUGGAUCUCACAACUACUCAAACCAAAACUUGAUGUAAAGGAGCUUGCUUACCCAAUCUAGCUGUCAUGCAACCACAAUUUUGUGAUGUAGCUGUUACAUGAUGCAACCAGAACAUCCUCUCUUUCUUUUCCCGAAUAGUAAGGUGGACAUGAUGCACGAGUAGAAAAUAACAUUAACAGAACUUGCAAGUUACAAAAUAGAUAUUCCUACUUCAUUGGAAAAUAUCUACUUUAUGUGUUUUUUGGAACAAUCAUCAAAGUCCUGUGAUAAUGUUGUUGACAUUUCCUAACUUUUCCGUUGUCAUCAUUGGAUUUGAAAAGUUCUUGAAGGUCUUAAAAGAAUCUGCAAGAUUUGGCACCCUUAAUUAACAGAUGUACCAAAUAUUAAUGUCAAGCCUAGAACAUCUCAACAACCUUUACCUGCUUUAUCACCAACUCCUGUGUUCUCAUUCUGCUGUCUCAUACACAUGUUAAACUAGAUCUAGCUGAUGUGUACCUUUACUAACUCUGCCAAUUUCUAGCACUAUGUACUUCUUGUAGUUGCUCAAAUGAGUUUGAUUUCAUAAGCACAAGUACUUGAGUACUGUCUGCAGCCAAGAUGAAUGCAGAUGCCCAACUUCUUUUAAAAUACCUGUUUUGGCUAUAUCUACUUCUUGGAGCUUGUGGAGCAAUCAUGAGAUGAAACAUCAUCUUUCUAGAUCUCCAAGUUAUCUGUGGAUGUAUUUUCUGAGAGUCAAUCUUCAAGAGGUGAUUUUGAAAUUUCAAUGAUGCUUUUUACCCUGUAAUUUUGUAAAGGCCUUCUCUUCAAGUUAUGUCUUUAGCGCCACAAAAGUCGUCCUAGCAUCACUGACAAUACCAAUCAUAGGGAAAUGAUUUUUUUGAACUAGUUUAGCUGCUCAUAAUUGCUCAUUCCAAUCAAUAUAACAAGUUCUGAGCAUGAAAGGGAAAGGUGCUUCUAUUGUUGUAUCACAGCUGAUGGCUGGUAUCCCAAGGUUAUCACAUGAGGUAAUGUUAUGAACACAGAAAUUCAUUAUGAUCAAUCCACCAUAUUUCUUGCUAAAAGAUUCAUUUUCUAAUGUUAGUUGAGAAAUGUGCUUGGAGUUAUACAUUGUGCAUUAAAUUCUAUUUGGUGGUAUAUUUUUGGAUGCUAAUUGUUGGUUAGGGGAGCCUUGACACACAUUUUGUAUUCCUUUUUUAUGUUUAUGAUUCAGCUUUUGAUUUGGCUCUCUUGUGUGAAUUAUAUCUUAUCAUAGCACCAUCUGAAUGAUUGUAUUGUUCUUUCCAUGUUGAUCUAUAUUAGCUUUACAGUCUAGUCAAGGACGAUGGAUCUUUUUUGAGUGAAUAGUAGAAGGAUCUUUCUCAGUUCCAUCUAUCGUCAUUACCAUCUUUAUUCUAGUUGACCAGCUGUAAUCUCUUUGUUGUGAGCUGCAUGUGCACUUAUUCUUUUUAAUUAACCAUUGCCAGCCAAUUCAAGGAUUUUAGGCUGGUGCAGUUGGUUCAUGCAAGGGUGUUGUUGCCAAUAGGUCUAGGGUCGAUUUUCAGCGAGUGCGGAAUGCCCCGCUUGCCUCAACCCCUCCUUGCAUGAGCUGUUGUUGUCGGGCAAAGUCUCCCGUAAUUUACCUCCCUUCUAGACAGUGGGGCCAUCGAGGGAGACACAUGGAAAGAUGAAUAUUACUUUUUCUGUGACAACAAUCGCUCAAAUAAUAAUGAUGGGUCUCAAGCAGUUAUGAUCCACGAAGAUGAUUUUGUAUCAGCAAUGCAGUCCCUGCAGCUGAAACCCCUCUGCAUAACAAUGCUCAUCUCCCUUGCCACUUCCAUCCAGCAUUCCUACCUCAAAACAGAAGCCAUUGGCUUCAAGUUGGUCCCGAUUCCCUUCCAUAAUCUUCAUCGCUGUCCUGCACGUGCCCAUCAACAACUCCUAUGGAUACAAUACAUAUUUGAGACAUCUCAAGAAGUUGCAUUUCGUCAAAGUAGAUAGCAGUUGCAGUGAUCUGAUACAUCUUCCAAAGCAAAGUAACAUUGGAACUUUUGGUUCUUAAAGUACAAGGAGAGAACUGUGACUUCUUACUGUUUUGUGUUUUUGAUGGCCGCAAUAGAAUGCAAUGCUGCAACUUGUUGUGUCUGUGGUUCUGUCCUCAGUCAGUGCUAGAACAGUGAAUGUAAACAGAUCUGUACUAUGUAUUAUGUGGAAAUAAGUGAAUGCACUUUAAAGUCUUAAGGUAUUUGAUUGUGAUAUUUGGAGACAACAUUGCAGUGACAAUGCUGGACUUUUGAAAUGGCUGUGCCUAGCCAAGUGGCUGUUGGAAUCAACUUAAAUGUGCAUAUUGUGAACAGGGUGCCCCUUAAGGAGGUAGAGAAAGGCCAUGAAUGAGACUUCUGCAGUGAAAAGGACAGCCCACAAGCUUACAAUUGAUGAGGUCUUCUCAUGGAAGGUGUGCAGGCCAAUGAAGAUGUUUGCUAUGCCCAACACACAGACUCCAGUUCCAAGCAGCCAAUGCACCAGAUUGAGCAAUGAUGCAUGGAAAAGCCGUCAAGCUACGAGGGUCGGAGGAUUCGUCCACCUUUCUUUGCUGUUAUGCCGAUUUGGCUUUGGAGCAGCACUUUCUGGUCUGCUAACAUAAUGAUGUCGAGUAGGUAUUAAUGACAUUCUCCAAAGGGAAAUUGAGAUGAGCUCUCGGUCCUUUGAUCCUCAAGGCAGCUCUGUCAUAGGCAACGGCAGCUUCUUCAGCAGUGUUGAAUGUUCCAAGCCAAACUCUAGCACCCUUUCUCGUAGCAUCUCUUAUCUCCGCUGCAAAUUUGCCCCAAGGUCUCCUCCUCACCCCUCUGUAAUGCCUCAUAUCAUCUUUUUUUGAUGUAGUGUUGAUAUUAUCGUUAGGGGUAGAAUUAGAGUCUGUGUUAAGCUUAUUAGAACUAGGUGAGGCGAGAAUGGAGGCAUCAUUGAGCAAUUCCUCCCAUACCUCAGCUCCCAUGGAGAUCCACCUACCAAGGCUUGGAAGCCUUUGCAAGAGUUGAAGGUUGUCGUUGGUUGUUUGGAGGCCAUCUUCCUCAUCUUCUUGCGUUUGGCAUGGCUUAUGUUGCAUGGAUCUAUCAGUGCUAGUGCCACUAGUGAAACUAGCCCACACAUCCUCCAGAAUCAUUUGGUUGUGCUUCGAUUUGUCGUCCAUAUGGGCAGAAAAAACAAUAUAGAAGAGUUGGAAAUGAGUCCAAAGAAUUGAAGAAGCUCACGAGGUAUAUGUCAAUCGGCUAUAGAACUUGCAACAAGCUAUGAAUUGAUGCAUCAAUCAAGAUUGGGUGUUAAUAGAGUAACAAAUGUGGUUUUAGGAUGUAGAAGAACUUGUGCGAAUUAAUGAGAGUUAAUGCCUCUAUAUCGGAAGGGAGUAGAGGUUGGGGUAUAGAAGAUGUUUCGAGGAUGAAAACAACUAUCGUAAAAGAGAAUUUGUGUAGUUGGAUGAGAACAGGAGAAUAUUUAUAGAAUGGAAAAUGACAGCAAAUAAACAGCUCAAGGAUUCAUUUACAAUCAUUGAGCAAAUUCUUUUAAGUAACUUGAGUUUGAGUCCAAGAAUCCACAAAUUGAGAGAGGUCAUUUAAAGGGAACUUCUUCUUCUUUUGUUUUUUUUUUAAAAGAAAUAUUCGUAAGGUGAAUAUUUA